AGUGAACGCUGGCGGUAGGCCUAACACAUGCAAGUCGAACGGCAGCACAGUAAGAGCUUGCUCUUACGGGUGGCGAGUGGCGGACGGGUGAGGAAUACAUCGGAAUCUACUUUUUCGUGGGGGAUAACGUAGGGAAACUUACGCUAAUACCGCAUACGACCUACGUGUGAAAGCAGGGGAUCUUCGGACCUUGCGCGAUUGAAUGAGCCGAUGUCGGAUUAGCUAGUUGGCGGGGUAAAGGCACACCAAGGCGACGAUCCGUAGCUGGUCUGAGAGGAUGAUCAGCCACACUGGAACUGAGAAACGGCCCACACUCCUACGGGAGGCAGCAGUGGGGAAUAUUGGACAAUGGGCGCAAGCCUGAUCCAGCCAUACCGCGUGGGUGAAGAAGGCGUUCGGGUGGUAAAGCGCUUUUGUUGGGAAAGAAAAGCAGCAGGUUAAUACCCCGCUGUUCUGACGGUACCCAAAGAAUAAGCACCGGCUAACUUCGUG
rnacentral:rRNA from 1 species